CAACGAACAGGUUCACAUAGUUGGGGCCCAUUCUCGUUCCCAUGGCCACUCCCGAGAAAUGCUGGUAGAACUCGCCCGCGAACGGGAAGCAGUUGAGUGAGAGGACAAGUUCGGCCAGACGAACGAGUAUGGAGGUGUCGGGUUGGGGAUUGGGUCGGAGGUCCAGGAAGUACGUCGUGUAGGUAAAGAGU